rfam:Tropilaelaps mercedesae isolate Wuxi-XJTLT scaffold0000007981, whole genome shotgun sequence.
GCCCAGGUAGCUCAGUCGGUAGAGCGUUAGGCUUUUAACCUAACGGUCCGGGGUUCGAGCCCCCGUCUGGGCG